rnacentral:tRNA from 1 species
GGAUUCAUAAGUUAAACAAACUAUUAACCUUCAAAGUUAAAAAUAUUUAUAUGCGUGUUGAAUCUG